CAAUAGCGUAUAUUAAAGUUGUUGCAGUUAAAAAGCUCGUAGUUGGAUUUCGGGAUGAAAGUCACGGUCUGCCGAAAGGUGUGUACUGUGAGGUUCAUUCUUCCUUCUGUGGACUCUUAUGGUUCUUGACUGAGCUGUGGGAAGGAUGCAGAACGUUUACUUUGAAUAAAUUAGAGUGUUCAAAGCAGGCAUUUGCUUGAAUACAUUAGCAUGGAAUAAUGGAAUAGGACUUUGGUUCUAUUUUGUUGGUUCUAGGACUGAAGUAAUGAUUAAUAGGGAUAGUUGGGGGCAUUAAUAUUUAAUUGUCAGAGGUGAAAUUCUUGGAUUUAUGAAAGAUUAACUUCUGCGAAAGCAUUUGCCAAGGAUGUUUUCAUUAA
rnacentral:rRNA from 1 species